GCCCGAAUGGCGGAAUUGGAAGACGCGCCAGGUUCAGGACCUGGUUCUCGCAAGGGAGUGGAGGUUCGAGUCCUCUUUCGGGCACCA
rnacentral:tRNA from 1 species